rnacentral:rRNA from 1 species
ACUCCUACGGGAGGCAGCAGUGGKGAAUUUUGGWAARGRRGGCAACCCUGAUCCAGCCMUGCCGCGUGAGUGAAGAAGGCCUUCSGGUUGUAAAGCUCUUUCAGCCGGAAAGAAAUCKUGCAACCUAAUACGUUGUAUGGAUGACGGUACCGGAAGAAGAMGCACCGGCUAACUACGUGCCAGCAGCCGCGGUAAUACSUASGGYGCGAGCGUUAAUCGGAAUCACUGGGCGUAAAGCGUGCSCAGGCSGUUUUGUAASACAGGUGWGAAAUCCCCGGGCUUAACCUGGGAACUGCWUUUGUGACUGCAAGGCUGGAGUAUGGCAGAGGGGGGUAGGAUUCCACGUGUAGCARUGAAAUGCSUAGAUAUGUGGAGGAAUACCGAUGGSGAAGGCAGCCCCCUGGGUCAAUACUGACGCUCAUGCACRAAAGCGUGGGGAGCAAACAGGAUUAGAUACCCUGGUAGUCCACGCCCUAAACGAUGUCAACUAGGUGUUGGGGGAGGAGACUUCCUUAGUACCGCAGCUAACGCGUGAAGUUGACCGCCUGGGGAGUACGGCCGCAAGGUUGAAACUUAAAUGAAUUGACGG